rnacentral:rRNA from 1 species
GUACGGCGAGUGAAGAGGAAGAGCUCAAAGUUGGAACCUGUUUGGCCUAGCUAAACCGGAUUGUAGACUGUAGAAGUGUUUUCCAGGCAAGCCGAGUAAAUAAGUCCUUUGGAACAGGGCAUCAUAGAGGGUGAGAAUCCCGUCUUUGGCUUGAGCAUUUGCCUUUUGUGAUACGCUUUCAAAGAGUCAGGUUGUUUGGGAAUGCAGCCUAAAUUGGGUGGUAAAUCUCACCUAAAGCUAAAUAUUGGCGAGAAACCGAUAGCGAACAAGUACCGUGAGGGAAAGAUGAAAAGAACUUUGAAAAGAGAGUUAAACAGUAUGUGAAAUUGUUAAAAGGGAACCGUUUGGAGCCAGACUGGCUUGUCUGUAAUCAAUCUAGGCUUCGGCCUGGAUGCACUUGCAGGCUAUGCCUGCCAACGACAAUUUGACUUGAGGGAAAAAACUAGGGGAAAUGUGGCCCACUUGUGGGUGUUAUAGUCCCUUAGAAAAUACCUUGGGUUGGAUUGAGGAACGCAGCGAAUGCUUAUUGGCGAGUUUUCCAGGAAGGUUUUCUGAGGUACUACGGUAUCAAGGUUGAUCUUUUUGGUUAUACUUCUAUUCGCUUAGGUUGUUGG